UUGUCUCUCUUGAGUGGAUCCUGAGUACGACGGAGCACGUGAAAUUCCGUCGGAAUCUGGGAGGACCAUCUCCUAAGGCUAAAUACUCUCUAGUGACCGAUAGUGAACCAGUACCGUGAGGGAAAGGUGAAAAGCACCCCGGAAGGGGAGUGAAAUAGAACCUGAAACCGUGUGCUUACAAGUAGUCAGAGCCCGUUAAUGGGUGAUGGCGUGCCUUUUGUAGAAUGAACCGGCGAGUUACGAUUUGAUGCAAGGUUAAGCAGUAAAUGUGGAGCCGUAGCGAAAGCGAGUCUGAAUAGGGCGUUUAGUAUUUGGUCGUAGACCCGAAACCAGGUGAUCUACCCUUGGUCAGGUUGAAGUUCAGGUAACACUGAAUGGAGGACCGAACCGACUUACGUUGAAAAGUGAGCGGAUGAACUGAGGGUAGCGGAGAAAUUCCAAUCGAACCUGGAGAUAGCUGGUUCUCUCCGAAAUAGCUUUAGGGCUAGCCUCAAGUGAUGAUUAUUGGAGGUAGAGCACUGUUUGGACGAGGGGCCCCUCUCGGGUUACCGAAUUCAGACAAACUCCGAAUGCCAAUUAAUUUAACUUGGGAGUCAGAACAUGGGUGAUAAGGUCCGUGUUCGAAAGGGAAACAGCCCAGACCACCAGCUAAGGUCCCAAAAUAUAUGUUAAGUGGAAAAGGAUGUGGCGUUGCCCAGACAACUAGGAUGUUGGCUUAGAAGCAGCCAUCAUUUAAAGAGUGCGUAAUAGCUCACUAGUCGAGUGACACUGCGCCGAAAAUGUACCGGGGCUAAACAUAUUACCGAAGCUGUGGAUUGUCCUUUGGACAAUGGUAGGAGAGCGUUCUAAGGGCGUUGAAGCAUGAUCGUAAGGACAUGUGGAGCGCUUAGAAGUGAGAAUGCCGGUGUGAGUAGCGAAAGACGGGUGAGAAUCCCGUCCACCGAUUGACUAAGGUUUCCAGAGGAAGGCUCGUCCGCUCUGGGUUAGUCGGGUCCUAAGCUGAGGCCGACAGGCGUAGGCGAUGGAUAACAGGUUGAUAUUCCUGUACCACCUAUA
rnacentral:rRNA from 1 species